rnacentral:rRNA from 1 species
GAUGAACGCUGGCGGCGUGCUUAAUACAUGCAAGUCGAACGGAGAGUUCUGUAGCAAUACGGAACUUCUUAGUGGCGAACGGGUGAGUAACACGUUGGUGACCUGCCCCGAAGUGUGGGAUAACAGUCCGAAAGGAUUGCUAAUACCUCAUGUGGUUAUUAGGUUUAGAAGCUAAUAACUAAAGCAGCAAUGCGCUUCGGGAGGGACCUGCGCCCCAUCAGCUAGUUGGUAGGGUAACGGCCUACCAAGGCUUCGACGGGUAAGGGACCUGAGAGGGUGGUCCCUCACAAUGGCACUGAAACACGGGCCAUACACCUACGGGUGGCAGCAGUAGGGAAUAUUGGGCAAUGGGCGAAAGCCUGACCCAGCAACGCCGCGUGUGCGAUGAAGGCCUUCGGGUCGUAAAGCACUUUUCUGAGGAAUGAGAAAGGACAGUACCUCAGGAAUAAGUCUCGGCUAACUACGUGC